rnacentral:tRNA from 1 species
GUGUGCGUAGCUCAGUUGGAAGAGCCCGGGAUUGUGAUUCCCGGAGGCAUCGGUUCGAAACCGAUCGCACACCCCA